rnacentral:rRNA from 1 species
CCGGACCCGACUGCUAUUUGGGUGAGGAUAAGCCAUGCGAGUCGAAUGGGAAACCUAAACUUCCCAUGGUAAACUGCUCAGUAACACAUGAUCAACUUACCCUAUGGAGAAAAAUAACCUCGGGAAACUGAGGAUAAUAUUUCAUAGUUGAAAAGGCUUGGAAAAGUUUUUCAACAAAAGGAAAAAGGAAAAUGGUUCUUUUUUGCCCUAGGAUAGGAUCGUGGUCGAUUAUGGUAGUUGGUGAGAUAAUGGCUCACCAAGCCGAUAAUCGAUAGGGGCCGUGAGAGCGGGUGCCCCGAGAUGGGUACUGAGACAACGACCCAGGCCUUACGAGGCGCAGCAGGCGCGAGACCUCCGCAAUACACGAAAGUGUGACGGGGUUACCCAAAGUGUCCUUAUUUGGACUGUGGCGGGUGAGUAAUGUUCCCCGCUAGAAAGGAGAAGGCAAGGCUGGUGCCAGCCGCCGCGGUAAAACCAGCUCUUCAAGUGGUCGGGAUAAUUAUUGGGCUUAAAGUGUCCGUAGCCGGUUUAGUAAGUUCCUGGUAAAAUCGGGUAGCUUAACUAUUCGUAUGCUAGGAAUACUGCUAUACUAGAGGGCGGGAGAGGUCUGAGGUACUACAGGGGUAGGGGUGAAAUCUUAUAAUCCUUGUAGGACCACCAGUGGCGAAGGCGUCAGACUGGAACGUGCCUGACGGUGAGGGACGAAAGCCAGGGGAGCGAACCGGAUUAGAUACCCGGGUAGUCCUGGCCGUAAACGAUGCAUACUAGGUGAUGGUACGGCUAUGAGCCGUAUCAGUGCCGUAGGGAAACCGUUAAGUGUGCCGCCUGGGAAGUACGGUCGCAAGGCUAAAACUUAAAGGAAUUGGCGGGGGAGCACCACAAGGGGUGAAGCCUGCGGUU